GGGUGACACAGUGACAGAGUGAGGGAGCGGGUGACACAGUGACAGAGUGAGGGAGGGAGUGACUAGUGACAGAGAGAGGGAUGGGGUGACUAGUGACAGUCACCCCCCCUCACUCUGUCACUAGUCACCCCUUCCCUCCCUCACUUUGCCACUAGUCAUCUCUUCCCUCCCUCACUCUGCCACUAGUCAUCUCUUCCCUCCCUCACUCUGCCACUAGUCACCCAUUCCCUCACUCUGUCACUAGUCACCC